rnacentral:rRNA from 1 species
AUUGAACGCUGGCGGCAGGCCUAACACAUGCAAGUCGAACGGUAACAGGAAGCAGCUUGCUGCUUUGCUGACGAGUGGCGGACGGGUGAGUAAUGUCUGGGAAACUGCCUGAUGGAGGGGGAUAACUACUGGAAACGGUAGCUAAUACCGCAUAAUGUCGCAAGACCAAAGAGGGGGACCUUCGGGCCUCUUGCCAUCGGAUGUGCCCAGAUGGGAUUAGCUAGUAGGUGGGGUAACGGCUCACCUAGGCGACGAUCCCUAGCUGGUCUGAGAGGAUGACCAGCCACACUGGAACUGAGACACGGUCCAGACUCUUACGGGAGGCAGCAGUGGGGAAUAUUGCACAAUGGGCGCAAGCCUGAUGCAGCCAUGCCGCGUGUAUGAAGAAGGCCUUCGGGUUGUAAAGUACUUUCAGCGGGGAGGAAGGGAGUAAAGUUAAUACCUUUGCUCAUUGACGUUACCCGCAGAAGAAGCACCGGCUAACUCCGUG